AUUGAACGCUGGCGGGAUGCUUUACACAUGCAAGUCGAACGGCAGCACGGACUUCGGUCUGGUGGCGAGUGGCGAACGGGUGAGUAAUGUAUCGGAACGUGCCCAGUCGAGGGGGAUAACGUAGUGAAAAUUACGCUAAUACCGCAUACGAUCUAUGGAUGAAAGCGGGGGAUCGCAAGACCUCGCGCGAUUGGAGCGGCCGAUAUCAGAUUAGGUAGUUGGUGGGGUAAAGGCCCACCAAGCCAACGAUCUGUAGCUGGUCUGAGAGGACGACCAGCCACACUGGAACUGAGACACGGUCCAGACUCCUACGGGAGGCAGCAGUGGGGAAUUUUGGACAAUGGGCGAAAGCCUGAUCCAGCCAUUCCGCGUGCAGGAUGAAGGCCCUCGGGUUGUAAACUGCUUUUGUACAGAACGAAAAGGUUUCUACUAAUACUAGGAGCUCAUGACGGUACUGUAAGAAUAAGCACCGGCUAACUACGUGCCAGCCGCCGCAGUAA
rnacentral:rRNA from 1 species